GUAAACUGUUUUAUAUGCAUAUAAGUCAGGUUAUAUAUCUAUUUUUUUUCCUUGUAAUAAAUAGGAGUUUUCAAUCAUAAAUAGGAUUAUGAAAUAUAGAUAAAUUAGGUAAUGGUCAAUAAUAAACAAGUUUUUUUUAAUAAUAAAUCAGUUCAAAUCAUAAAUAAGUAAAUUCAGUUAGUUAAAAAAUUUAAUAAGAUAGAGAAAUAAAAUUAACAGUUUUGAAUAAGAGAAAGACAUUAAAAUUUAUACAGGUUUUUUUUAUAGCAUUUAAGUAAAUAGUUUUGACCGACUCAGAUCUAGUGUUUUGUAUAUCUCCCAGUAUCUGUGGUCAAGCAUAUUACGUGCACCCAGAUCUGGAACGUUAAGUAGUUGGACAACUGACAGUCCCAGGAUUAUUAUAUUAUUAACCGUAGGUUACGACUUGUGCUUUGUCCCGGACUUUGACUGUUUACCUCUUUGAUAUUUUGUUAUUCGGCCCAAUAGUGGUGUAUAUUUUUAUUAGUGUCCAUAAAGGUCAUGUUAUAUCAUUUAUUCCUCACACACCACUAUUGUUAAACUAUUUAUGGUCUGUAUACUUACUAAAUUAUUAAAUUGUAUUUAUAGAAAUAUUUAUUAAUAAUAAUAAUAUAUUUGUGGUUACUA
rnacentral:lncRNA from 1 species